UGUUGGAUUGUUCACCCAC
rnacentral:snRNA from 1 species